rnacentral:rRNA from 1 species
CCAGAGAACUUAGCAGAGAUGCUUUGGUGCCUUCGGGAACUCUGAGACAGGUGCUGCAUGGCUGUCGUCAGCUCGUGUUGUGAAAUGUUGGGUUAAGUCCCGCAAGAGCGCAACCCUUAUCCUUUGUUGCCAGCGGCUCGGCCGGGAACUCAAAGGAGACUGCCGGUGAUAAACCGGAGGAAGGUGGGGAUGACGUCAAGUCAUCAUGGCCCUUACGGCCAGGGCUACACACGUGCUACAAUGGCGCAUACAAAGAGAAGCGACCUCGCGAGAGCAAGCGGACCUCAUAAAGUGCGUCGUAGUCCGGAUUGGAGUCUGCAACUCGACUCCAUGAAGUCGGAAUCGCUAGUAAUCGUAGAUCAGAAUGCUACGGUGAAUACGUUCCCGGGCCUUGUACACACCGCCCGUCACACCAUGGGAGUGGGUUGCAAAAGAAGUAGGUAGCUUAACCUUCGGGAGGGCGCUUACCACUUUGUGAUUCAUGACUGGGGUGAAGUCGUAACAAGGUAGGCGUAGCGAG